rnacentral:rRNA from 1 species
CAGUAACGGCGAGUGAAGCGGCAACAGCUCAAAUUUGAAAUCUGGCUCCUUCGGGGCCCGAAUUGUAAUUUGUAGAGAGUGCUUCGGGCGAGACCUCGGUCUAAGUCCAUUGGAACAUGGUGUCAUAGAGGGUGAGAAUCCCGUAUGCGACCGUGGCUCGAGCCCAUGUGAAGCCUCUUCGACGAGUCGAGUUGUUUGGGAAUGCAGCUCAAAAUGGGUGGUAAAUUUCAUCUAAAGCUAAAUACUGGCUGGAGACCGAUAGCGCACAAGUAGAGUGAUCGAAAGAUGAAAAGCACUUUGGAAAGAGAGUCAAACAGUACGUGAAAUUGUUGAAAGGGAAGCGCUUGCAACCAGACCUGCCCGUAGGCGAUCAGCCGCUGUUCUCAGCGGUGUACUCGCUCUGCGAUCAGGCCAGCAUCGGUUUCGGCGGUUGGAUAAAGGCCUGGGGAAUGUAGCUUCCCUUCGGGGGAGUCUUAUAGCCCUCGGUGCAAUGCGGCCAGCCGGGACCGAGGACCGCGCUCCGGCUAGGAUGCUGGCGUAAUGGUUGUAAGCGACCCGUCUUGAAACACGGACCAAGGAGUCUAACAUCUAUGCGAGUGUUUGGGUGUCAAACCCAUACGCGGAAUGAAAGUGAACGGAGGUGAGAACCCUCAAGGGCGCAUCAUCGACCGAUCCAGAUGUCUUCGGAUGGAUUUGAGUAUGAGCAUAGCUGUUGGGACCCGAAAGAUGGUGAACUAUGCCUGAAUAGGGUGAAGCCAGAGGAAACUCUGGUGGAGGCUCGCAGCGGUUCUGACGUGCAAAUCGAUCGUCAAAUUUGGGUAUAGGGGCGAAAGACUAAUC